ensembl:snRNA U6 U6 spliceosomal RNA
GUGCUUGCUUUGGCAGUAUAUAUGCUAAAAUAGGAAUGACAUGGGGAAGAGUAGCAUGGCUUCUGAUCAAGGGUGACAUACAAAUUCAUAAAGUGUUCCAUAAAAUA